rnacentral:rRNA from 1 species
CAAUAGCGUAUAUUAAAGUUGUUGCAGUUAGAACGCUCGUAGUCGGAUUUCGGGGCGGGCCGACCGGUCUGCCGAUGGGUACGCACUGGUCGGCGCGUCCUUCCUUCCGGAGACCGUUCCUACUCUUAACUGAGCGGGGGCGGGAGACGGAUCGUUUACUUUGAAAAAAUCAGAGUGUUUCAAGCAGGCAGCUCGCUCUUGCAUGGAUUAGCAUGGGAUAAUGAAAUAGGACUUUGGUGCUAUUUUGUUGGUUUCGAACACCGAAGUAAUGAUUAACAGGGACAGUCAGGGGCACUCGUAUUCCGCCGAGAGAGGUGAAAUUCUCAGACCAGCGGAAGACGAACUACUGCGAAAGCAUUUGCCAGGGAUGUUUNCACUG